rnacentral:miRNA from 1 species
GAAGAGGUGUGCUCGUUGUGGG